CAUCAUCAUCAUUAUAGUCAUUUUCUUCUACCCCACAUUUCUCCCAAGUCCAGCAAAUGGAAAUCAGGACCCUCGGAAGAAAAAUACAAGAAGAAAGCCUUUAAAGCUUCCUAUAGGGAGAGCCUCUGCUGGAAAGGACCAGGUCCACCACAUCCUUGGGAGCCACACUGCUCUUGGGUCAAAAGCCUGGGAUACAGGGAUCUGCCUCUAAGGGGCAGUGUUUCCAAUCCUGUUCCAUUCAAGACUGAGAAGCCUACCCAAAGAAAAAGGGUCUACAGCACCGGCUCUCACAGUAUGACACCAUUUUGUCGGGGAAAGCUGCAUAUUACCACAGUCCAGUUCCAUCCCCAACCUGGAAAAGUCCAUUCCUAUAGAGAUGUUCUGAAUUUUUGGCUUGGGAGUCCAGACAAUAAGAAGUCAGAAAGGAGACCAAGCUUGGAAAAGUUCCCUUUCUGGACUGCAAUGGCCAAUAACUAUACAGGCAGGUUUCUGGGAGCUGUGGUCCAAAAUUAAUGUUGACAAGCUCUGCAGUAGACUGCUAUGAUCCCCAGCUGAGACAUUUGUAUGCUUUCUUCUCAGAACUAGUUCAGCAGCAAAGCCAUAGUGUACAAUCAAUAGGGAGCUAUAGGCAAUCCUCUGACCAGGGUAUUUGUAUCUGUAAUACAUAUAAAUGCAAACAUACUGGCGAUUACCACACUUCAUGCUCAGACUGUAACCGCCCUAGCCAGCAUAGCCAGUGGGGCAGAGCUAAUUGCAGUUGCAAUUCAACAACAUCUGGAGGGCUACAAGUUCCACAUUCCUGCCUUAAAGCUUAGGUUAAACACACACACACACACACACAUCCUACACAAAGGAAACUAAGCAGCACAGGUUCACUGGUAAAUGGCAAAUUUGUCAGUGAUAUAUUUAUCACUUGCCAGAGCUUGGGAAACUUAUUUUGUACUGUAACUCAGAAUUCCCUAGCCA